ACGCUGGCGGCAGGCCUAACACAUGCAAGUCGAGCGGUAGCACGGGAGAGCUUGCUCUCUGGGUGACGAGCGGCGGACGGGUGAGUAAUGUCUGGGAAACUGCCUGAUGGAGGGGGAUAACUACUGGAAACGGUAGCUAAUACCGCAUGACCUCGCAAGAGCAAAGUGGGGGACCUUCGGGCCUCACGCCAUCGGAUGUGCCCAGAUGGGAUUAGCUAGUAGGUGGGGUAAUGGCUCACCUAGGCGACGAUCCCUAGCUGGUCUGAGAGGAUGACCAGCCACACUGGAACUGAGACACGGUCCAGACUCCUACGGGAGGCAGCAGUGGGGAAUAUUGCACAAUGGGCGCAAGCCUGAUGCAGCCAUGCCGCGUGUGUGAAGAAGGCCUUAGGGUUGUAAAGCACUUUCAGCGAGGAGGAAGGCGUUGUAGUUAAUAGCUGCAGCGAUUGACGUUACUCGCAGAAGAAGCACCGGCUAACUCCGUGCCAGCAGCCGCGGUAAUACGGAGGGUGCAAGCGUUAAUCGGAAUUACUGGGCGUAAAGCGCACGCAGGCGGUUUGUUAAGUUGGAUGUGAAAUCCCCGGGCUCAACCUGGGAACUGCAUUCAAAACUGACUGACUAGAGUAUGGUAGAGGGUGGUGGAAUUUCCUGUGUAGCGGUGAAAUGCGUAGAUAUAGGAAGGAACACCAGUGGCGAAGGCGACCACCUGGACUAAUACUGACACUGAGGUGCGAAAGCGUGGGGAGCAAAC
rnacentral:rRNA from 1 species